UACGGGGGGGGCAAGCGUUGUUCGGAAUUACUGGGCGUAAAGGGCUCGUAGGCGGCCAACUAAGUCACACGUGAAAUCCCUCGGCUCAACCGGGGAACUGCGUGUGAGACUGGAUGGCUUGAAUCCGAGAGAGGGAUGCGGAAUUCCAGGUGUAGCGGUGAAAUGCGUAGAUAUCUGGAGGAACACCGGUGGCGAAGGCGGCAUCCUGGAUUGGUAUUGACGCUGAGGAGCGAAAGCCAGGGGAGCAAACGGG
rnacentral:rRNA from 1 species